UUGGGUACUUGGGUGUCGAACGUUUUCAUGCCCCAAUCCAACGGUCAAAUUUUUAUGGGCAAGGGUUCUUUGAACCUACAAGUGUAGCAUGUGGGAGAAGUCGAAGUCCGGCGGGGUCGCCAAAGUUCAAUCUCCGACAGACGCCGGCGCAGAUGCAUCUUUGCUUCGACGGAGGAGGACUCACUCCUCUAAUGUAAGCCACGAAACAUGGUCACGCUGAAGCCGGCGAACCCUAGAACGCUCUCUCUCCCUCUAAUCUCUUGGCUGGUGACUUAGCCAUGGACUCCGAUCAUCAUUGCAAGGGCUGCAAAGAAGAUGAUGAUUCUAAAAUUGACUAUUUGGAAGAUAGGAUUACUUUUAGUGAGGUUAAGUUGAUGGACUUCAAUAACAAAGCAAUCAUGAUGACUUGGGAGAAGCUAUGGAUGGAGGUUUAUAGACAAGGCUAUUCAGCAAUAUGCACCCAUUACACAUACAAUAGUUGUUGGAGUUCACCCUGAGGUUUAUGAUUGAAUACUUCAUACUGGGUGGGGAAAGAAGGAUAAUGUAAAGAUAAUAUCUGGUCGCUGGCAGGAUGUUCUCUCUCAAUUUGAAUCUUAUUGAUGAUAUAUUCUUUGGAACUUAUAGUGAGUAUUAUGAAGACAUGAGGGAAUUUCACCAGCACCUUCAUACAUUAUUAAAGCCUGCAGGAAUCUACUCAUUCUUUAUUAGCCUUUCUGGAGGUUUUUAAUGGUGUGUUGGGGAACGAGAUUGAGCACCACAAAAUCCUGGUUCCUUUAAAGAGAAAAAAAUAUUAUAAUUAAGGAGAAAUUAAAGGAAAAGGGAAAAAUUAAUAAUAAUAAUUAAGGGGAAAUCAAAGGAAAGAGAAAAAAAAAAAAAAAAAGGGCUUUUAAUGUUAACUUUUAACUUUGUAAGGUCUGCCCUCUUACUCUACCAAUGAGGACAAGUAAAGAGAUCAUUUCUUUCACUUAAUCAUAAUUUGGUGAAAAAAAUAAGAAUAAUUUAUCCUUUUCAUUUUGGGUUUCUAUUGGUGUGUGUUGGGGAACAAUGCUGAGCCCCAAAAAACCUGGAUCCGUAAACAAAAAAAAAAAUUAUAAUAAUUAAAGGCAAAUUAAAGGAAAAAUAAAAAAAAGAACAAUAACAAGGGGGCAGUCAAAGGAAAAAGGGAAAAAAGGUUUUGAAUGUUACGUUUAACUUUGUAAGAUCUGUACCCUUGCUCUAUGGAGGAGAACUAGUGAAGAGAUCCUUUCCUCCACUUAAUGACAAUUUGGAGAGAAAAAUAAGAUUAAUCCAUCCUCAUCUUUGUGGGGUUCCUCUAAAAAAAAAAAAUUAUAAUUAAGGAGAAAUUAAAAGAAAAAUGGAUAAAUAACAAUAAUUAUGGGAAAGUCAAAGGAAAAAAGAGUAAAGGCUUUGAAUGUUAUGUUUAACUGUGUAAGGUCUGUCCUCUCUACAAAGGAGGAUAAGUGAAUAGAUUCUUUCUUCCACUUGAUCAUAAUUUGGAGAAAAAACAAUAAUAACCAUAAGAGAUUAAACAAGGGCUGCAACCUUGUCCUCCUCUUCUUCCAAUGCAAAAAAUUAAUAACAAUUUUUGGAAAGAUUUUUUUUCCAUAAAUAAAUAUUCUCAAGUAAUCUAAUCAAAGAAUCCUUUCAAAGCAUCUAAUAAUGAAUGCUAAUUUUAUAAGCUAUCCUCUUCUUGGUGGGUUUCUAAUCUUGUGUUGGGGAACAAGAUUGAACACCACAAAUGGGUUCCUUUAAAGCGAAAAAAUAAUAAAUAAAUAUGGAAAAAAAAAAUUGUACACAAUUAUAUACAUUUUCAUCAUUAAAUAGACAUGAAAGGACAAUUGUGUAAUACCAUUUCUACUCCCUACAUGAUGAAGGGUGGCCUUAUAUGAAAACCUAGCUAUAAAAAUAAAACCAAAAGAAGAACAGUUUUUGAGCUUUACGUUUAAUUAUGUAAUGUGUGUUCUUUCUCCAUAAAUUAUGACAAAUGAAUAGAUUCUUUCUUCCACUAAAAUCACUAUUUGGAGAAAAGACAAAUAAUAAUCAUCAGG